AAAACAAAAUGUAGCCAAGAACAACUUGCCGGCGUGAAAGAAGAAGAAGAAGAAGAAGAAUGUUAUAAAUAGAUACAUUUUAUUGUUUAUUCUUAUUGCUCCGGCAAGUCAUCCUUGGCUGCACUCUACUUUCU
rfam:Glycine max cultivar Williams 82 chromosome 17, whole genome shotgun sequence.